UACGGAGGGGGCUAGCGUUGUUCGGAAUUAUUGGGCGUAAAGGGCGCGUAGGCGGCUUUGCAAGUGACGGGUGAAAUCCCUCGGCUUAACCGAGGAACUGCCUGUCAGACUGCAUGGCUUGAGACCGGGAGAGGUGAGUGGAAUUCCCAGUGUAGCGGUGAAAUGCGUAGAUAUUGGGAGGAACACCAGUGGCGAAGGCGGCUCACUGGACCGGUACUGACGCUGAGGCGCGAAAGCGUGGGGAACAAACAGG
rnacentral:rRNA from 1 species